rnacentral:lncRNA from 12 species
AUGAGGCUUUUGGGGCUUCUAGAGGUUGGCACUCGGCGUGGUUACUGUUACAGUUGUGAAAAAGUUGGUAUUUUUUCCUCUGAAAGACGUCAAGGUCUAUGCCGUCAGUGUAAAUCGAGGCAUCCUAGCCAAGCUGAUUUUGAGCCUAAGACACAAAAUUGGUGUGUGGAAAAUCACAUUCAACACCUGCAACUUGUGUGUGUGUGUGUGGGAGGAAGACUGGGAAAGGACUGUGGGGCUGUGGGGAGGGAGAUUUGGGUGGAAACGGGAUAAGACAAGAAGAAGGAGAUAAUGGGUACUAGUCAAAGCAAGGCUAGUCCUUUAGGCUGUGUUUUGACACACUGGAAAGAGUUAGUAGGGUAUGGGGGCACUGAAAAUAAGUGGAAUUUGAUCAAAUUUUGCACAUAAUGGUGCAAAAUGGUCCCUUUAUAAGCUGGGAGAAGGUCUCAGAUGGCCACUGGCUGGAACUUUAGACUACGAGAUUCUCUUGCAGCUGAUGCUAUUUUUAAGGCUAGAAAAGAAAUGGGA